GGGGGUACAGCUCAGGGGUACAGCACGUGCUUAACAUGCACAAGGUCCUGGGUUCAAUCUCCAGUGCCUCUG
rnacentral:tRNA from 1 species